rnacentral:lncRNA from 1 species
UUAGGAUUUCGUCUACUAUUUGAUUAGGAUUAGGAUUUGCUUGGAGUUUGGUUUAGAACUUAAGUAGGAGUUGACUAAGGUAUAUCUAGGAUUUAUCUAGGCUUUAGGAUUUUAUUAGGAUUUGACCUAGGAUUUGACUUAGGAUUUGAUUAAGGUUCAAUUAGGGUUUUAAUUAAGAUUUGAUUUAGUAUUUGAAUAAGGUUCAUUUAAAAUUUAAAUUAGAAUUAUAUUUAGAUUUUUAUUUUUAAUAUUUCUUUAAGAUUAU